UCUCCUCCGAGGCUCCAAAGCUUCCCCCCUCCACCACCUGCAGUCUCCGCCCGUGAAGGGGCUUCCUAGUGUGUGGAAACCUUUCCUCCUUCACGGCUCCCUCCCACUGGUGCAGGUCCUGUCCCUAUCCUUUUGUCUCUGUUUAUUCUUUUUUCUUUUGCUCUACCCAGGUACGUGGGGACUUUCUUGCCUUUUGGGAGGUCUGAGGUCUUCUGCCAGCGUUCAGUAGGUGUUCUGUAGGAGUUGUUCCACGUGUAGAUGUAUUUCUGGUGUAUCUGUGGGGAGGACGGUGAUCUCCACGUCUUCCGCCAUCUUCCCCUCCCACCCAAAAAUAUGAUUUUUAAUGCCUAAAGUAUUCCAUUAUAUAGCUGUAACACAUUAUUUAUCCACUCCCCUAUUCAGCAUUUUGUUGCUCCCAAUUUUUUCUAUUAUAAAAAAGGCUGUGAUAAACAGUGACUCUGUCCACAUCUCUUAUUUUAUUCCAAUAAAUUUUAGAAUCUGAAUUACCUUAAUGAGGUUUUCACAAGUAUCAGUGAUAGUGUGUCACUAUCACACAUAAUACAAUGCUAGGCACACAGCAGACAUUCAAUAAUUGGUAGCAGUUGGACUUCCCUGGUGGCGCAGUGGUUAAGAAUCCGCCUGCCAGUGCAGGGGACACAGGUUCAAUUCCUGGUCCAGGAAGGUCCCACAUGCCACGGAGCAACUGAGCCCGUGCACCACAACUACUGAGCCUGUGCUCUAGAUCCCACGAACCACAACUACUGAAGCCCGUGCACCCAGAGCCCAUGCUCCGCAACAAGAGAAGCCACCGCAAUGAGAAGCCUGCGCACUGCAACAGUAGCUCCUCACUCGCUGCAACCAGAGAAAGCCUGCACGCAGCCACAAAGACCCAACACAGCCAAUAAAUAAAUAACCCACCGGAAGAGGUCUAUGUGUUUGUCCUUCAUGACGCCUGGUCCUUGGAGGCAGAGGGUCCAGAGCACCAGUGGGGGCAAAGGGUCCAGUCGUCAUGGGAUGGCUUCAGGACAGCGAUGUGUGCUGGGAGAGCUGCAGCACCUGAUCACAAGGACGUCCUUGCCGUGUCUCUCUAGGAGUUCAGACACUGCCCCAGGCCUGUCCGAGAGGCGCCCCUCUCCUUCCCCAGAUCGGGUGAGGAGGCGCCUAGGCCUCUGGGAUAGGGGUGUUGCAGUUCCCAUGGUAGAUCCUGACGUGGCCCUCACACCGGAAGUAGGCAUCGAAGACGUCGCUGUAGCCAUGGUCCCUCCACCAGGUGCAAAGCUGCCGGUUCCAGGUACAGUCCAGCACGUGGAAGAGCUCAGGGUGCUCCAUGCCAAUCAUGGUGAAGAAGUCCUGGUCCCCGAGGUGACCCCGGAAGUGGUACUUGUCGGCCAGCUGCUGCACCUGUGCUGGCUCCAGCAGGCGGCCGUACAGUGGGGACUGGCGCAUGGCCUCCAGGUUGAGCAGCAUCACCCCGCUGUUGAAGCCGGGGAGCCCCUCAGGGGGAGGGCCCCCGACCCGGGUCUUGGGGUUCUCAUGACGGAACUGCCAGAAUGUGUGCCUGGGAAGGGGAAAGAGAACAGAUUUAGCCUGACGUGUGUGUGUGUGGGUGGGAACAGUCUGCCAGUCCUGUUCCUCUGGGUCCUCACAACCACCCAGGAGGGAGGUUCCAUUUUCACUUGUUUUACAGCUACGAGGACUGAGCCAUUCUGAGGCUCAGAAUCUGUAUCACACUGCCAGCAAGAGGCAGAGCCGGUCUGAGUCUCCCAAGUCCAAGCCUCACGUUCUUCCCACCACCCUCAGGAUGACAUCAUCAUCUCCAUCAAUCACAUCUGUACAGACUUCGUGAGCACCAGGCACUACAUCCUAUGAGACGGGUGUUCUCAGAGGCAAUAUGUCACCUCACGCCUGAGGAAAACUGCACAGAGAGGUUCAGAGACUUCCCCAAAGCCACACAAUCAGCAAAUAGCACAAGCAGGGACUCAGCCCAGGCAUCCGGCUCCAGCGUCCACUUCUGAGUUCUUCAUGAGAUGAACAGGAACAACAAAGAGCACACUGAACGGAGAAGAUCAAUUGCCGAUCACUCAGCUAUUUAACAGACCCAACCCAUAUGGAGUCUGAACUGCCCCCCAGCACCUCACCACAUGCCUGGAACGUGACAGUGUUGAAAGCCGUAGAGAAUGAAGACCCAGAAAUGCUGCAGGAGGUGCCUGAGACCUUUGAGAGAUAAGUGUGAAAGGAAGAUAUAAAACAUUUGCCCAAGGUCAGAGGAGCCAGGCAGAAGAGUUUGCCAAGAGGGAAAUCCUGGGACGCAUCUGAGCCUGAAGGAGGGACAGAAGAAAGAAGGUGCAGUGGCUCUGAGGACCAGGCCGGGAGGACGCAGACAGGGACAGCUGUGAGACGCUGGCCAGCAUGGCCCAUUAAAUGCCGACUUCUUUGCAGACGACGUAGAGCAAACCUGCCUUUCCCCUGCUUCUUCUGGACCAGUCACCCUCACCUCGUCCAGGGCUGAUGGACCACCAGAAUCUUGCCGAGCCUGGGGUCUCCCUCUAAAGGCAGAGAAGGAUGGGAACUACCCUGGCCCUCUGUCCCCACCCAGCUCUCUACUCAGGUGCCCACAGGAAUGCCUGGGGCUCCUGGAGCUGGAAGAGCGCUGUGGAGAGGAACUGCAGCCCCACAGCACUCAGGGCCCGGGACUUCUCAGCUCUCUCUGCGGUGGAGGGCCGGAGCCUAGCCUGGACCAGAACCACCAACUGGAUUUGAGUGCACAUGAAGAGGGGAAUUAAAAAAAGACAGAUCAAAACUGGCCUUAAAAUUAGACGCUCGUCCAAGCCACUACCUGCAGAGUGCUUAGAAUCCUCUGCAACGACAGCAGGCUGCUGGACACCACUCCUGGAGCCGUUCUUCUGGAAUUCUCUGGCUGUUCAGGGAGCAGCUCUUCCUGCCCCAGGGCUCCUGGCCACCCUCUCCCUGCCUUUCUCCCCAUGGCCGUUCAGGCUGCCCAGUUGCUGACUGAGGAAGAAGCGUCCUGACUAGAACCACAGCCCAAAGAAUCAGGUGCUUAUUUGCACCCCAGGGGGCCCUCAUCCUGAAAAUUCUGGUACUGCCAAGGGUCAGGGAGGUGCUGAGCUCAGUGUCUGCUCUGCUCUGCUCUCCGCCCUGUGUGGAACCUGCAGGGCCGUUUUGCUGGGGAGGCCCCAAGUUCCCAACUAGCUCCCAGCCUGAGAAAAAGCAAGAAACCUGGGCUGCGGACACACCUUGGGAAGGAGGCAAAGAAGACAAGGAAUGAACCCACACAGCAGAGCCGGGCCAGGCCCCACGGAGCCCAGCGCCAGCACCCUGCCCACAGCUGCACCAUACCACGGGUGGGCCUGCAUCUUCAACACUCCCUUUCCCUGUCAGACCUCCUCCUUCCCCUCCCCAGAGCCGCCUGGCUCCUCGCCCAAGACCUAGACACCUGCCCACACGCACAGAGCCCACAGGGGCCCGACCAGGUCUCCUGCCGUUCAUUCCGCCCAGACGCACGUGCGCAGGGCUGCUGACCCAGGAUGCUCCCCCUCCUCGCUCAGAGCCGGACUCCUCGUGGGAUCUCAGGAAACUUCUACCAAACGAAGCCCUUCUAGCCUCUGCCCUCCUCCUCAGAGGCCAUCCAGGUGCAGAUGUCUCAAGGAGCCGGCUCCGAGUUGCCCGCUUCUCCCAGCAGCCCCAGUCUCCGGAUGCAGAUGCAUGGGGCCACAAGGCCCGUGAAGGUGCCGGUUCUUCCCUCUUCACGCCGUCUGCUCGUCCACAUGGGCAGGAACCGCGAGGCUGCACGGUCAGGGGCCCCUCUUGCAUGGGCUGGGCAGGUAUUGCUGAUGCCGUUCUGAGCAGUGCUGCCUCUCCUCCGUGGCACUCCCGUGUGACUCGGCUCAAGCCUACCCCUAGGAAGGUUUUCUCAGCUAAGUCCGCUCCUCCUCUUCCCGGCUCAGGCUUCUCUUCCCUAAGAGCUGUGUGGUGAAUGGCAGGGCUGUGCAAACCUUACUGUGCACACAAAAUGUCUGUCUGGAGAUCCAGUUAAAUGUAGCUGGGGUUCAGCAGGUGAGAGGAGUGGGAUCCUGCAUUUCUGACAAGCUCCCAGGUGAUGCUGCUGUGGUCCACAGGCAACACUUUGGGGAGUGAGAAAGUAGAGGAAAGAGACUUGGGAUGUCUGCAAUAUUCCUGCAUUACAUGAGGUAAUGCAGAGCCGAGAGCCCCUGAAGCCACGGGUGCCCACAAAUGCAAGUUCUGAUCCUUUUGCUUCAGUUUUCUCCCUGUAAUAGUAGGAACGAGAGACCUCGCGAGAGGUAUUGCCAGAGAAUUAAAUGAAAUAACAUCUGAAGACCGUGGUGCACAGCAGGUGACAGAUGAUGAGAGUUCUCCCUCCUUUCCUUCUGCUGUUAGUCCUGUGUCUGGCACAUAACCUGUGUCCCAUAUGAUCAGGGAGGGGGCUGGGAGGGCCCGAAGGCCUGUCUCUUAGACGAAGGGUUUCCACAUCCAGCUCUGAGUGCCUGUGCGCGUGGUACUGGAGAAGUGGGUUGUUCAGGUCAUGCUGAAGGGUGAUUCCUCAAGUGAUUUUGUUACUUGGAUACAUGUGCGUGAGCAAGAACGCCUGCUAACACGUGGGAGGGGUCAUACAGAGCAAGGACCUACAGAUGGCAGCCAGCCUGGAGAGCCCUGGGUAAGGCCCCAAGCCCUGCUGCCUCUUGGUCGGGGCAGCGACCACUGGAGACUUGGUCUGAUUCUCACUGCAGGUCAGCAGCUCAAUAGAAGAAAGGUAGGUGCUUUUAGAAUCUGCAUUAACCAGUCUGGCCAGGGAAAGGACCAUUCAUCAGAACCCCUCCUUUUUCCUGGCCUAUAGGUACUCAAGCUGCUUCAGAGAUCUUGCUUGUUUCCAGAAAAAGGCUAGGGGCUCAGGGAACCAAGCUCAAUAUGUGAUAUAUAGCAGUGUUGCUUCUAAGGUUUAAGGCAAAGGCAAGAGGAGAAAUUAGACUGAUGGCCAAUUCAUCUUCAGUAAGCAUUUACUGACAGCCAGUCUGCAUCGUAGCCUCCCUUGCCCCCCCCCAUAUACUUAAUCUUUUCUGAUUAAGAUCAAAAGUAAACCCCUUUGAUCUUAAUCAGAAAAUGAUGCUGUUUCAGCUCAUACAACUCAAUAUCAAAAGAACAAACAACCCAAUCGAAAAUGGGCAGAAGACCUAAAUAGACAUUUCUCCAAAGAAGACAUGCAAAUAGCCAACAGGCACUUGAAAAGAUACUCAACAUUGCUAAUUAUUAGAGAAAUGCAAAUCAAAACCACACUGAAGCAGCACCUCACACCGGUCAGAAUGGCCAUCAUCAAAAAGUCUACAAAGAAUAAAUGCUGGAGAGGAUGUGGAGAAAAGGGAACCCUCCUGCACUGUUGGCGGGAAUGUAAUUUCGUACAACCACUGUGGAGAAUAGUAUGGAGGUUCCUUAAAAAACUAAAAAUAAAGCUACCAUAUAAUCCUGCAAUCCCACUCCUGGGUAUAUAUGUGGAAAAGAUGAAAAGUCUAAUUUGAAGAGAUAUAUGCACCCCAGUGUUCAUAACAGCAUUAUUUACAAUAGCCAAGACAUGGAAACAACCCAAAUGCCCAUCAACAGAUGAUUGGCUUAAGAAGAUGUGGUACAUAUGCACAAUGGAAUGCCACUCAGCCAUAAAAAGAAUGAAAUAUUGCCAUUUGCAGCAACAUGGAUGGACCUAGAUAAUAUCAUAUUAAGUGAAGUCAGUCAGACAGAAAAAGACAAAUAUUGUAGAUAUCACAUAUAUGUGGAAACGAAAACAUAAUACCAAUGAGUCUAUAUACAAAACAGAAAGAGACUCACAGACAUAGAAAACAAACAUGUUUACCAAAAGGGAAAGGGCGGGGAACAGGGAUAAAUUAGGAGUAUGGGAUUAACAGAUACAAACUACUAUGCAUAAAAUGGAUAGGCAACAGGAAUUUACUGUAUAGCACAGGGAGCUAUAUUCAAUAUCUUAUAAUAACCUAUAAUGGAAAAGAAUCUGAAAAAUACAUAAAUAUAAAUGAAUCACUUUGCUGUAUACCUGAAACUAACAUGAUAUUGUAAAUCAACUAUACUUUAAUUCAAAAAGAGUAAUGCUGUUUCAUCAUACUUGUAGAGGGUACCUGCUGAGACUGGGGGAUCCCUCUGGCAUGGUACCAGCCCACAGCCAGUGCAGAGGGACACAUGUGGCCAGAGAGGGAGCACUGAAAGUGACGGUGGUGCAAACACAGAGGUCAAGGGCUCUGAGUAGCAGAGAUGACAUGUGAGCCCCAGAAACCAUGCUCUGUUCCCAGAGUGCAUCCCUAAUAUACAUACACACACGUGCACAUGCACACACAUACACACAUGUAUUUCCUCUGCCUUCGGGAAGCUGAGGUUCAACUUCCCAGCUAGUUCUGAGUUCUGCUUUCUUCAGAAAGAGGUACAAAUUUGCCAGGAGGCCAUUCCUCCUCCAGCCCCAGCCCUUCUCCAUGCCCUGAUAACAUUUCACGCAGCUAUUUAAGAAGCAGGGUUAAGGUUUCUUUUAACUGGCUAUUAAAAUCAGAGCACAGAGACAAGUUUUGUAAAGCUUGGUUUCCAUAAAGGAUAACUUUUCUUCUGUGGGUUUAAAAAAAUGAGAAUCUUGAUGGAAACUGUAGGCAGCCACAUAAACAGUAAAGCCCACUCAGUCUUCCAGAUGCCAGCAGAAUGUGAGGAUCUUUUCCCUGAGGUUAAAAGGAAUGCAAAUUCAUAUGAUUUGUUUCCAAAUUUUUAAGAAAGGUGAAAAUGCUAGUAAGACUGCUGUGAACUCAGAUGACACCUCCAAGUGCAGGCUGUACUGAUUUUUACCUCGCCACACUCCUGAGAAGACCUUCCCUUGGCACCCAGCUUCUGAGCUUCCUCUUUCUCUGUUCUUGUCUUCAAAAGAACAGGAAAUGCCAGCAGGUUUGUUUUUCUCUGCCCCCGGGGUGCUCCCAUCGCUUUUAUCAGAACAGUGGAAACUUCAAGUUAGAGGCAGCCCCUGGGACUAGUUUCAGAGCUGAGCUGGUUUUGUUGUAAAAAUACAUACAUACAUAUGCUCACAUGCACGCGCACACACACACACACACACACACACACACACACACACACACACAUACUGGUAGCUGACAUUUACUAAAUGCUUAUUACAUGCCAGCCACUUUAAAAACAACUUACAUGAAUUAUUUCAUCCUCACAACUUUGUGACGUAGGUUACAACAAUGGCAAUGAUAAUGGCAAACACUUAUAAAGCAGCACGUGUCAGCACACGUAAGCACGUUCUAAGUGUUUCACACACUUGACGCAUUUACUCUUCACAAGCUUGUAAGGUAGGCGCUAUUAUUAUCCUCACUUUAUAGGUGAGGAACCUGAGGCUUACAGAGGUUAAGAAAUUUAGCUGAAGCCACUCACCUAAUAAGUGGUGAAGCCUGGGUUCAAACACAGGCAGCCAGGCCCCAGCGCCCCUCUGACAAUUCCAUCCUCACCGCCCCUCAGUGGACAGGAGCGCCCUGGGGUCAUUCCAUCUAGACAGGCACAGCCCUGAGCAUCUACUCUGUGCAGUCCUGCUGCUGCCUCCAGGGGCUCCUUGUUCAGCAAGGGAGUGUGGGUGCAUUAAAGACCCUUACACAGAGCAGUCAGCUGGGCUGAAAGACCUCUUCAAACCAAAUGUUCCAGACAGAGAAAGAUCAGAUUAGUGGAGGGAAAUCAAGAAAGUCCCAUGGAAAAAGAGAUAAGCAACAAAGAUAUACUGUAUAUCCUUGUUUUGUUUUUUAAUUCAUAUAUAUAUUUUAAAAUCAAACACAAUUAAAUAGAAUAUGGCUUAAGUACAUGAAUACUUCGCUUUAGAAUAACAGAGGUGGCACAUAGUACCAAAAACUCACACACAGCCUUUCCACUUCUUCUGUUGAUGAAACAGUGUGCAUCUAUACAAUCAAAUAUUGCAGUGGAGUAAAUUCUCUAUUCAUUCAAGACUUUCUCAAAGACAGGUGAUUAAUAAUUAUACAUUCAUAUGUACAUAUAUAUACAGAGAAUUAUAGCCACUAUCUUCUAAUAACCUAUAAUGGAGUAUAAUCAGCAAAAAUACUAAAUCACUAUGUUGUACACCUGAAACUAAAUAAUAUAAUCUUGUAAAUCAACUAUAAUUAAUUUAAAAACAAAGAAAGAAAGGCCCAUGGAGAGUACAGUGAAUGAGGAAGGACUGACAGAGGCCCGGUGUUGGGGGUGGAGGGGUGAGUGCUCCAGGGGCCUGGAGGCGACAGAGUGGCGGAGGAGACAAAUACUGUGAGUCCACACGUAUGAACCACCUAGAACAGGUCAAUUCACAGGCACAGAAAGGAGACUAGAGGGUACUAGAGGCGGAGGGCAGGGGGAUACGGAGCUAUUGCUUAACAGGUACAGAGCUUCUGUCUGGGGGUUAUGAAAAUAUUUCGGAAAUAGUGGUGAUGGUUGCACAACACUGUGAAUGGAAUUAAUGCCAAUGACGGAACACUUAAAAACAGUUAAAAUGGCAAAUUUUAUGUUAUAUAUAUUUUAACACACACACACACACACACACACACACACACACACACACACACACACACACACACACACACACACGAGCUGAGGAGAAGCAGCCAGUGGGCCCAGACUGUCAAGGUCCCGGGAACCACCCUGUCACUGCACUGCCCCGCUGCUGAGCCCAGGUGCCAGGGCUGUCAUUCCUUCCCUUCGGGAUCUGAGAGCUGGAGCCCUGGUGCCCGGCGAUAGAAUCCGACGGCCUGACAGCCUUGCUCUUUGCCUGCGUCCCUAAGGCCAGCUGCUCACUGGACCCCACCCGGGGCCUCUCUGCCCUCAGGCUGCCAGUCUCCAAGCCGCCUCAGGGCCCUCGGGGGCCCGCAGAGCUGUGGCUUUCCUUUUCUCACCGCUUCAAGUUCUGCAAUCACAAUCUGUUUUCCAAAGCCGUGGCAGCGGCAGACUGUAAUUAACGUGGAACGUUCUGAGGGAGCGGAGGACAUGUGGGACAGAGGUCAGGCUCUCCAACAACAACGCUUUCUGCUGCAAGAGGACUGUUUUCUCCUCUCCUUCUCCCUUCCCGGGAUGUCAAAACAAUAAACCUCUGGGAGACAAAGAAAUAAACCUGUCCUGCUUCACACGUACAAAGCAGGCCCUGGUGCAGGUGCGAGGACCCGCAUACGGGGCAACAGUUGGACAGACGGUGCUCUGUCUCGCUCACCACCUGGGCCUCCUGACCGCAGAGACACACCUACAAACAUACACCAUCGAAGCUCCCAUCAACCCAGCAGGGCCAUAUGGGGCCUGCACUGUCAGUCUGCAUGCAGUCAAGUCACUAGAAGGAAAGUCCACUUUUUAAAAAAAUAAUAAACUGGUUCAUAAGCCCCUUUUCCUGUGAAAGUGAGCAAAGACAGAACUAUUGAAUAGAGAAAUAAAUGCACUAACUGUAUUUGAAA